rnacentral:piRNA from 1 species
CAAAACUACAAAGUGGCACACCCCAAG